rnacentral:rRNA from 1 species
GACGAACGCUGGCGGCGUGCUUAACACAUGCAAGUCGAACGGAAAGGCCUCUUCCGGGGGGCACUCGAGUGGCGAACGGGUGAGUAACACGUGAGUAACCUGCCCUUGACUUUGGGAUAACUUCAGGAAACUGGGGCUAAUACCGGAUAGGAGCUCCUGCUGCAUGGUGGGGGUUGGAAAGUUUCGGCGGUUGGGGAUGGACUCGCGGCUUAUCAGCUUGUUGGUGGGGUAGUGGCUUACCAAGGCUUUGACGGGUAGCCGGCCUGAGAGGGUGACCGGCCACAUUGGGACUGAGAUACGGCCCAGACUCCUACGGGAGGCAGCAGUGGGGAAUAUUGCACAAUGGGUGGAAGCCUGAUGCAGCAACGCCGUGUGCGGGAUGACGGCCUUCGGGUUGUAAACCGCUUUCGCUCAUGACGAAGCUUUGUGUGACGGUAGUGGGUAAAGAAGCACCGGCUAACUACGUG